rnacentral:ncRNA from 1 species
GCGCCCCAGUCAGGAGAGAGCCCCCUCGCGGGGGCCGCCGAAGGCGCAGUGGCACCGGUGAUCCCAUGCUGCGAACGCUCAGGCAAAAGGACUGACGAGACGUC